rnacentral:rRNA from 1 species
AUUAACAACAACAUAGAAUUAAUGCAUCAGAUCCCAUUAGAACUUUGUAGUUAAGCGCGCUUGGGCUAGAGUAGUACUAGGAUGGGUGAUCGCCUAGGAAGUCCUAGUGUUUUACAUG